UACGUAGGGUGCAAGCGUUGUCCGGAAUUAUUGGGCGUAAAGAGCUCGUAGGCGGGUCGUCGCGUCGGCUGUGAAAACCUGAGGCUCAACCUCAGGCCUGCAGUCGAUACGGGCGGACUUGAGUACUGCAGGGGAGACUGGAAUUCCUGGUGUAGCGGUGAAAUGCGCAGAUAUCAGGAGGAACACCGGUGGCGAAGGCGGGUCUCUGGGCAGUAACUGACGCUGAGGAGCGAAAGCGUGGGGAGCGAACAGG
rnacentral:rRNA from 1 species